GCAUUGGUGGUUCAGUGGUAGAAUUCUAAUCUGCCAUGCGGGAGACCUGGGUUUCAUACCCAGCCAAUACA
rnacentral:tRNA from 1 species